GUACUAAGUAAUUUUAGAUUUUUAUUUUGUUUUUCUUUAUGUAUGACUUAAGUGGGUCGCAAAUAUUGUACGCCUAAAAAAGUAGGUUGAAUCCAAAAAAGUUGAAGACCACUGGCUUAUGGUACAUAUUAAAGAAUAUUUUUGCUAUAUUGGAUAUUACAGAAUUUUUAGUUUAAUUUAUUAUUAAUCACCGACUUAAGAAUUUCCUGUGAUAAAUUGUUUUUCAUUAACUCAUAAGCAACUAUAUUUUUAUACCAAUAUACCACUAAGCCACAAUACACCAAUAACUAAUAAUUGAUCUAUGAUCUAAGAAUUUCAUAAUAACUGAUGAUUUCUUAAAAUAUUUUGAGAAUAUUAAGAAUAUUUUAGAAAUAUUUCAUACAUUUUUGCAUAUAAACAAAAUAUUUCAAAUGUUUUAACAGAAUAUAAACCGGACUCUAAUUAUAAUUUAAUCUCAUAAUAAUUUCUUUCUUUCAGUUUAUGAUAUCUUUAUAACAAGUUAACAAUUAUAGUUCAUUUACAAAAUCAAUGACAUAAUAUUUUAAUUUACAGAAAAUAAAUGUCUAAAUAAUAUAAUUUUUAAUUUCCUUAAUUGAAGCAGUGUUUAUGUGAACAAAUAUUAAUUGUUACAACAGUCACUAUAUUAUGAAUGAACUGGUCAAUCUGAUAAAAUAUAAACAGUAUUUUAAGGAUUUCAGAAUCAGUUAAAGAUAGUUAAUGACAAGGAUAAAAGUGCAACAAUUGAUUGAUGUCUAUUGAACAAAUACAACAUUUUGCUGUAGCAAACUUCUAAGUUAUAAAAAUAUGUAUUUAAAUGAAUACCUACUACAUUGGUAAAUAAAGUAGGAGGUAAUAAUAGGAAAAUCUAUAGCUAAUGUUUUCCAUGACAAUUAUUCUUUCAAAAAAUUAUUAUUUAGUGGUAAUUUUAACUUUAGUAAUACAAUUAAAUUGGUUAUUUGAAAAGAAAAUGUACUAUAAUAAUGUAUU